CACCAAGCUGAUUGACGAUGACUAAAUUGGAAUCGAUCGGUUUUCUCCCUCUAAUCAGAGGAAUCCCUUUAAGAAACGUCUGCGUUAACACCUUAUUUUUGUGAAAUCGAGGAAAAGGGUUUAAUUAAAACCCCCACAGCUGGCGCCAUAUCAAAAGGCACAGUUGGUUCGCACGCCAAUAUUUCUAGACAUGUUGAGAAAAUUCUAGUGGUGCCGUCUUCUCUCGUGCAUACGAAUCUCGUCGAAGGAACGAAACUCGGACAAUAACUCGCUGAACUUAGAAUUCGUAAGUGGCGCCACUGUCUUCGACUGAAUGCUAUCAUCGAACAGUGACUCCAGUAUUCAUGUUGAUUGCCAAAUUUUCCUUCGGAAGUUUGGAUGAUAAGUGAGGAUCACAAGAGCUGUUAGAGUUGAAGGGUGAACAAGUGGAGUUACGUUACCAUUAAAAUAUGCGAAUCCAACAGCAAGAGACUCUUGCAAGCCAUUCCAACAAGGUAAUACGAUGCUUUUAAUAAAUUCUCACCUGCCUGUCCGUAUUAAUAUGUUUUCAAGUCAAGUUUGAGUAGGAUUUGGUUUUUGAGGAAUGUCUCGUUUGAUUUAGAGUGAAACAGCGGUUUUCAUAGGCGGCCUCGGUAUUUUUAUCGUUGUUUGUAGCCUUUGAGUAACAGUUUACGUAUCUUCAUUUCUUCCAGGCUAAUUUUAUCCACCCGUCGUGUGCACAAUAUUCUGAAUUUCUAAGCCAACGUCCACGCACUGCCAAAAUCCUGACGUCUUCAUUCUCUUUUCUUCUUACACCGCUUUGAUUCAUACUCGAAAUUCUAAAGAGUGGUGUUCCAGGCCUUUUAAGUAUUGAUUGAUUUUUUUGAGUAAUUAAUAUUGAAAUUUCGUUUUAGUUUAAAUCUUGAAAAAGGCAUUUGAGAAACAAGCUGAUUCAAGAAAGGUGAUCACAAAAUAAUCAAUUAUAAAAGGAAUCAUAAUGUAAAUAAUUAUGAAGAAUGAUCAUAAAUAAUCAAUUGAAAAGUUAGUGCAGUCUUCCCACCUCAGAUAUCUUCGAAACUAUAAGUUUCACAGAAAUAUUUGCUAAAAUAAAAUUGCACAGUGGAUUUAUUAAUAUUACCCCUUCGAUUUGCAGGUGUUCAUGGUCAUAUUUCCAAAAGUAUUGUAGAAUGGGAUUUAAUUAAGGGAUUUAAUUAAGAACAGGCAUUUUGUGCGAUGUGUUUUAGUACAUAAAAUUGAAUUUAUUUAGAAUAGUGCCUUUCUAAGCUUUAUUUCUAUAAAAAUAUAAAUUUCUAUAUAAAUAAAAUUUCUUUGAGAAAUGGUAGGGCAAUUUCAAUCGGGAACCUUUCGAGUAACACCUGGUAACACCUGUUAUGCUCAAAUUAGGCCACGUGCCCGAACGCUCAACCCUAACCUAAAUUCUUAUUCUCCCAAAUAUUCGAACGGUCUCACAAAUUGCUCGACAUACAAACAAAACAUACAACACACAACCCUUUAUUUUCUCUAGUUUCUAUUAACACUGCCAAGAUUCGUAAAAUUUUGUUGUUACUGUCUGGCUGGGG